UACAGAGGGUGCGAGCGUUAAUCGGAAUUACUGGGCGUAAAGCGUGCGUAGACGGUUAUUUAAGUCGGGUGUGAAAGCCCCGGGCUCAACCUGGGAAUUGCAUUCGAGACUGAAUAGCUAGGGUACGGUAGAGGGAAGUGGAAUUUCCGGUGUAGCGGUGAAAUGCGUAGAUAUCAGGAGGAACACCAGCGGCGAAGGCGGCGCUCUGAGCCGGAACUGACGCUGAGGAGCGAAAGCGUGGGUAGCAAACAGG
rnacentral:rRNA from 1 species